AUGAUGAUUAACCAAUCACCAUCUUUCGGCUGA
rnacentral:snoRNA from 1 species